ACACAGACUGCACUCUUAUAUGGCCUCAGGUUGAAGUGAAGAAUUCCAAGUCAAAAAAUGCCAAAUGUGAAAGCAUUCCUCCCAGACCACCUCAACUUCCAGCUGGAACUAAGAAGAGAGAAGGCAGAAGUGAAAGACAUUCAAAGAGAGAAACAGAAUCAGCAGCCUCCAGAAUGAGAAAAAAGGUAGAUGCAGAAAGAAUGAAGAAAUGCCAUACAGAAAAGAAAAAAAAACAGCUAGAAACUAGGGGGGAAAAGGUCAAGGAAACAAGCAGGUGACUUGGCUAAGAGGCUCUGAAAAAGGAAAGAGUGGACGUCCACUCAGAAGCAUGACAUCAACCAGCCUCUGAGGACAGACAGAGCUACUCCAAUCAGGUGGAGUGGUUACAACCCUAUGGGUUUGGUCAGCCCACAGAGCCAACCCAAAACACAACAGACGGUGAAACCCCUCACCUACACAAACACCUCACACAACAGCCCCAACCCUGGGCUACUCGGAGAGGCAGAAGCCUCUCGGAUAGAAGUCAGGACUAUGCCCACUCAUCAGGGAAGAGGGGUGUCCUCCCUUCCUCUGCCCCUCUUUGCUAGGCUAGUGCGUCCUCCCCAAGCCCCCACCCCUUCCCCACUCAAAACAUUUCAUCGAUCUGCCUGGCUGAAAGUGCUCUCGAUCAACUACGGAGCGCGAUUCAAACUUCACACAGCUGAAACAGCACAGAAAACCCGUAAGUGAUCCGAACCUAAAAAUAAUCAGAUGUUAACCAGCACUCCCUCUUUCCUUUCCACAGCAACAACCACAGGAUCGGACUCCUCCAACAGAAAUCCUCGGCGCCCUGCCUCCAAAGCCCCUAGCAGCGUCCAGGUGUCCCAGUGCCGGCCUGAAGUGCCAGACGUCCAGGGCCUUGGGUUCCCUCAGCUCAUCAUUUCCAAGCACUCAGAAGCUGAGGAGCAAUCGAGGGUCCCACCCAAUCCCACCGACGUCCAGGUACAGCCCAGAUCCUUCUCCCAGCUCUUAAAUUUUGAGGAAAACCAACAAAUACUAUGCUGACCACAGGAAACAUCCCCAUAAAGUUGAACUCACUCCAGGGCAUCCCAAGGUAAUUGCCCUUGAUGAAGAGCCCAUCAUGGAGAACCCAGGAGCACAAUCAGGGCUGGCCGGAGCUCCACACCGAGGCUCAUGCUCAUUCCGCCUUUGUUGACAGAGUACCUAGCAGGGCACAGAGGGGCACCAGGACAAUGCAGAGAAAAGGCUAGUACCUCCCUUCACAAACCAACCCAAACCAAAAGACACGGACCCAAGCCCAAGAACUAUGGCAGUGGACAGGCUGAAAAGAAACCAGAACUUCCUCGUUGGAAGGGCCCAUCCUGGCUGGAAGUGAACAGGAAGGACCUCAUGCCACCUCUGUGGUGCCUGCUCAUCACUUCCCUAGAGAAAGGGCCUGGCCAGGUGACUCUCCCCUCUUCUGGGACCCAGGGACAAGUGAGACAGGCUCAGAAAAUUGAGUCUGGGAGGGGCAGGAGAGAGCUUGCUUCAGGAAAUGACAGUCCCCUUGCUCACAGUCGGAGUACCAAUGAAUCUGUUGUCUUCCAGCAGCUGCUGCCUGCAUCUUUACUCUUCUCUCCGGACAGGACCUCAGCCAAAAGCUCCCACUGUUACCUUUAAAGUUUUAUUUAUUUA